rnacentral:rRNA from 1 species
UACGUAGGGAGCGAGCGUUAUCCGGAUUUAUUGGGUGUAAAGGGUGCGUAGGCGGCCUAUUAAGUCUAUGGUUUAAGUCCGAAGCUUAACUUCGGUUCGCCAUAGAAACUGGUAGGCUUGAGUAUGGUAGAGGCAAGUGGAAUUUCUAGUGUAGCGGUAAAAUGCGUAGAUAUUAGAAGGAACACCAGUGGCGAAGGCGACUUGCUGGGCCAUCACUGACGCUGAGGCACGAAAGCGUGGGGAGCAAAUAG